rnacentral:rRNA from 1 species
GUGCCAGCAGCCGCGGUAAUACGUAGGGGGCAAGCGUUGUCCGGAAUUAUUGGGCGUAAAGCGCGCGCAGGCGGUCCUUUAAGUCUGAUGUGAAAGCCCACGGCUUAACCGUGGAUGGUUAUUGGAAACUCAGGGGCUUGAAUACAGAAGAGGAGAGUGGAAUUCCAUGUGUAGUGGUGAAAUACGUAUAUAUGUGGAGGAACAUCAGUGGCGAAGGCGACUCUCUGGUCUGUAACUGACGCUGAGGUGCGAAAGCAUGGGGAGCAAACAGGAUUAGAAACCCCUGUAGUCC